rnacentral:lncRNA from 1 species
GGGUUCUAACACCUGAUAUCAGAGCAAUGUUCUUGGCAUCUCGCUGCCCUUCCAUAGCCAUCCAUCAGCCCUCCAUAGCCGCCCAAAGCAAUUCCCACAAUUGUUUAAAAGAUCGUCACCAAAUUCCACCGCGGAUCAUCCUUUGAUCUCCCCGUGAAUUGCAAAAGGUUCUGGUUUCCUACCUUACUUCUGCUGCAAUUUAGUUAUCCUUAUUUGAAAAAAAA